CCUACGGGUGGCAGCAGUCGAGAAUCAUUCACAAUGGGGGAAACCCUGAUGGUGCGACGCCGCGUGGGGGAAUGAAGGUCUUCGGAUUGUAAACCCCUGUCAUGUGGGAGCAAAUUAACAAUAUAGUACGACAAGAGGAAGAGACGGCUAACUCUGUGCCCGCAGCCGCAGUAAUUCAGAGGUCCCAAGCGUUGUUCGGAAUCACUUGGCGUAAAGCGUGCGUAUGCUGUUUCGUAAGUCGUGUGUGAAAGGCGCGGGCACAACCCGCGGGCGGCACAUGAUACUGCGAGACUAGAGUAAUGGAGGGGGAACCGGAAUUCUCGGUGUAGCAGUGAAAUGCGUAGAUAUCGAGAGGAACACUCGUGGCGAAGGCGGGUUCCUGGACAUUAACUGACGCUGAGGCACGAAGGCCAGGGGAGCGAAAGGGAUUAGAUACCCGAGUAGUC
rnacentral:rRNA from 1 species